AUGGAUUAAAUGGCGCACGGGUGAGUAACGCAUAGAUAACAUGCCCUUUAGUUUGGGAUAGCCACUAGAAAUGGUGAUUAAUACCAAAUACUACCCUACGGGGGAAAGAUUUAUCGCUAAAGGAUUGGUCUAUGUCCUAUCAGCUUGUUGGUGAGGUAAAGGCUCACCAAGGCGAUGACGGGUAUCCGGCCUGAGAGGGUGAACGGACACACUGGAACUGAGACACGGUCCAGACUCCUACGGGAGGCAGCAGUAGGGAAUAUUGCUCAAUGGGGGAAACCCUGAAGCAGCAACGCCGCGUGGAGGAUGAAGGUUUUAGGAUUGUAAACUCCUUUUGUGAGAGAAGAUC
rnacentral:rRNA from 1 species